GACGAACGCUGGCGGCGUGCUUAACACAUGCAAGUCACGGGGGCCCGCAAGGGUAACCGGCGAACGGGUGCGUAACACGUGAGCAAUCUGCCUAGAUGUGGGGGAUAGCCGGCCCAACGGCCGGGUAAUACCGCAUACGCUCGUUGAGUGGCAUCACUUGACGAGGAAACCUCCGGGGCAUCUAGAGGAGCUCGCGGCCUAUCAGCUAGUUGGUGGGGUAACGGCCUACCAAGGCAAUGACGGGUAGCUGGUCUGAGAGGAUGGCCAGCCACAUUGGGACUGAGAUACGGCCCAGACUUCUACGGGAGGCAGCAGUGGGGAAUAUUGCGCAAUGGCCGAAAGGCUGACGCAGCGACGCCGCGUGGGGGAUGAAGCAUUUCGGUGUGUAAACCCCUGUUGCUCGGGACGAACAAGCGAUUUCGAUCGCUCUGACGGUACCGGGUGAGGAAGCACCGGCUAACUCCGUGCCAGCCGCCGCCGUAAGAC
rnacentral:rRNA from 1 species